GAUGAAGAACGUAGUGAAAUGCGAUAAGUAAUGUGAAUUGCAGAAUUCAGUGAAUCAUCGAAUCUUUGAACGCACAUUGCGCCCGCCAGUAUUCUGGCGGGCAUGCCUGUUCGAGCGUCAUUUCAACCCUCAGGCCCCCAGUGCCUGGUGUUGGGGAUCGGCCCAGCCUUCCUGUAAGGCCGCCGGCCCCGAAAUCUAGUGGCGGUCUCGCUGUAGUCCUCCUCUGCGUAGUAGCACAACCUCGCAGUUGGAACGCGGCGGUGGCCAUGCCGUUAAACACCCCACUUCUGAAAGUUGACCUCGGAUCAGGUAGGAAUACCCGCUGAACUUAAGCAUAUCAAUAAGCGGAGA
rnacentral:misc_RNA from 1 species